CUAAGUGAGCUACUUAAAAAUAGCUUCUAGAGCCAACCCUUCUCUGUUGCAAAAGAGUGGGAUAAUUUUUAAGUAGAGGUGAUAAACCUACCGAACUUAGAGAUAGCUGGUUUUUUAAGAAACGAAUUUUAGUUCAGCCCUAAGCUUCUGACUAAACAAAAAGUCUAUUUAAACUUAGGAGUUACUCAAAUAAGGCACAGCUUAUUUGAAAUAGGAUACAACCUACAUUAUAGGGUAAGAUGUCGAAUUAAAAUUAAGUAGGCCUAAAAGCAGCCAUCUUUAAAAUAGCGUCAAAGCUUACUUUAAUAAUUUCAUUAAUUUCUUAAACCACUUCUAACCCAUUCUCUAUAUUAAAAAACUCCAUAAACCUAUGGAAAUUAUUAUGCUAGAACAAGUAACAAGAAAAAGAAUUUCUCCAAAAUGUAAGCUUAAGCCAUAAUAGACAUACUACUGGCAAUUAACGGAUAUAAACAUUUUAUAGUAACACCAACAAGAAAAUUCUAUAUUUUCUUCCGUUAAUCUUACACUAGAACAU
rnacentral:rRNA from 1 species